rnacentral:rRNA from 1 species
CAGGAUGAACGCUAGCUACAGGCUUAACACAUGCAAGUCGAGGGGCAGCAGAUCGAAAGCUUGCUUUGAUGCUGGCGACCGGCGCACGGGUGAGUAACGCGUAUCCAACCUUCCCUAUAGUAGAGGAUAGCCCGGCGAAAGUCGGAUUAAUACUCUAUGUUUUCCAAUGCAGACAUCUAAGUUGGAACAAAGGUUCACCGCUAUAGGAUGGGGAUGCGUCUGAUUAGAUAGUAGGCGGGGUAACGGCCCACCUAGUCGACGAUCAGUAGGGUUCUGAGAGGAAGGUCCCCCACAUUGGAACUGAGACACGGUCCAAACUCCUACGGGAGGCAGCAGUGAGGAAUAUUGGUCAAUGGGCGAGAGCCUGAACCAGCCAAGUAGCGUGCAGGAUGACGGCCCUAUGGGUUGUAAACUGCUUUUAUCGGGGGAUAAGGUGAGGGACGUGUCCCUUAUUGUAGGUACCCGAUGAAUAAGGACCGGCUAAUUCCGUGCCAGCCGCAGC